rnacentral:tRNA from 1 species
GGGGGUGUAGCUCAGUGGCAGAGCAUCGGCCUUUUAAGCCGCAGGUCGUGGGUUCGAUCCCCACCGCCCUCA